ensembl:lncRNA
GAACGCCUCCAUCAUCCGAUCGAUCUUCUGCGCCUCCCCCGGCAGCCGGAAACUCCACAGGAACUGCCCGGAAUGUGCCCAAAAAUACACCCGGAAUUCCCAAAAAUACACCCGGAAUGUUCCAAAAAUACACCCGGAAUUCCCCAAAAAAUACACCCGGAAUGUGCCCAAAAAUACACCCGGAAUGCGCCCAAAAAUACACCCGGAAUGUGCCCAAAAAUACACCCGGAAUGUUCCCAAAAAUACACCCGGAAUGUUCCCAAAAAUACACCUGGAAUGUGCCCAAAAAUACACCCGGAAUUCCCAAAAAUACACCCGGAAUGUUCCCAAAAAUACACCCGGAAUGUGCCCAAAAAUACACCCCCAAUUCCCAAAAAUACACCUGGGAGGAUCCAGGUGUGUCCAGGUGUCCCCAGGUGUAUCCCAGGUGUGUCCAGGUGUGUCCCCAGCCCCUCCAGGUGUACCCCAGGUGUGUCCAGCUGUGUCUAGGUGUGCUCAGGUGUGUCCCCAGCCCCUCCAGGUGUAUCCAGGUGUGUCCAGCUGUGUCUGGGUGUGUCCCCAGCCCCCCCCAGGUGUACCCCAGGUGUACCCCAGGUGUAUCCAGGUGUGUCCAGGUGUGCCCAGCUGUGUCUGGGUGUGUCCAGGUGUGCCCAGCUGUGUCUGGGUGUGUCCAGGUGUGUCCAGCUGUGCUCACCUGAGCGCCUGUACCAGGUUCAGGUCGGUGAACUCGUGCAGGUCCACGAAGGCAUGGAGCACACCCAGGUUAAACUCCUCCCUGAGGGGCGGGGCCAGGCUGUCAAUCACUGCUGGCCACACCCCCAUUGCACUGUCAAUCAUCCCCAGCCACGCCCCCAUUGCACUGUCAAUCACCCCUGGCCACGCCCCAUUGCACUGUCAAUCAUCCCUGGCCGUGCCCCCAUUACACUGUCAAUCACCCCUGACCACGCCCCCAUUUCACUGUCAAUCAUCCCCAGCCACGCCCCCAGUGCACUGUAAAUCACCCCUGGCCACGCCCCUAUUACCCUGUCAAUCAUCCUUGGCCACGCCCACCCAACCAAUCAAACCAUUACAACAGCCACUCUUAACCUGUCAAUCACCCCUGGCCAUGCCCACCCCGCCAAUCAACCCGUUACCACACCCACUUUGAACCUGUCAAUCACCCGCCUAGCCACGCCCACACGAGAAAGCUGCCAGGCCACACCCACCCCCUGUCAAUCAUGCUGGGAUGGGGCUUGGCCACACCCAGAGGUUGGGAUAAGCUCCGCCCACUGGCUGUCAAUCAUCUGUGACCCCAAAAAUCUCCCUCCCAGUCGCUCCCAGCCCAUCCCAAUCCAUUCCCAAUCCAUUCCCAAUCCAUCCCAGUCCCAACCAAUCCAUUCCCAGUCACUCCCAGUCCCAACCAAUCCAUUCCCAAUCCAUUCCCAGUCCCAACCAAUCCAUUCCCAAUCCAUUCCCAGUCCCAACCAAUCCAUUCCCAAUCCAUCCCAGUCCCAACCAAUCCCCUCCCAGCCCAUCCCAGUGCCCCAAAUCCCCUCCCAGUCCAUUCCAGUCACUCAG